rnacentral:lncRNA from 1 species
UCGGUGCUAAGAGGACUUGAAAGUUCAAACCACCACUCACGAACCUCAUUCAGUUGCAGCCUUCAGAAACAAGAAAAGCUCUCUGCAAAUCCUUGGUUUUCACCUUCAUCUUCUUCAAAAGGUUUUCGAGCGGUAGACAUGGUGAUCAAGUCCCUGGAGGUGACGGUGAUGUCCGCCAAGGACCUCCCCAACGUCAACGUCAUCCAUAAGAUGGACCCCUAUGUCAUCGUCUCCCUCUCCGGCAACCACAAGCAGCGCACCCACGUCCACAAGAACGGCGGCACCAGCCCCAGGUGGGUCAAACUCCUCACCUUCCCCGUCGACGAGGCCCGCGCCGACCUCCUUAUCCUCAUGUUCGAGAUCAUGACCGAGAAGACCUACGGCGGCGACAAAGAGGUUGGCAAGGUCGAGGUGCCGAUCGCGGAGCUGCUCGAGAAGCAGGGGGACGGGAAGCCCAAGCAAAUAAGCUACAGCGUGAGUCUGCCGUCCGGGAAGACCCAGGGGGUCCUGGAAUUUAAUUACAAGUUCGGCGAGGAGCUGCCGGGGGGAUGUGGAAAUACGCCGGCCCCAGAGCAGGGGCCUACAAAGAAGAGCGGCGGGCAAGGUUGGAUCGGCGGGUUGGCUGGCGGGUUGGCCGUCGGGUUGGCCAGCGGGUUGGUCGACGGGUCGGCCAGCGCGUUGGCCGGCAAGUUGACUGACGGGUUGUUCGGCACAGCGCAGCCGGAAGCCGCAGUGGACGAGCCGGAAGCCGCAGUGGACGGGCCAGAAGCCGCAACGAACGGGUCGGAAGUCGCAGAGGACAAGUAAGAUGAUGUUCUUGAUAUAUAAAGCUGGGUUUUUUCUUGCUUUGUCCGCUAUGUUUGAUUUGUAGUACGCUAGCGUCACCCUAGGUUCGGUGGUGGUAGUCCCCGGUGUCUGAUGUGCGCUUUUUCUAAUUUUCUGUGUGUGAUUAGACUAGAGGCGUCAGUCGAUGACGCCGCGUUUGGGUUUUUUUUUUUUUUUCGUGUGUAAUCACUUAUCAUAAUGGACGCGUGUGUUUUAUGGACCAAAAUAGCGAUCUGACCUUUCGAUUUUGUCUCUUUUUCCUUUCGGUUGCUUUCUUUUUGUAAUUUAUGGCAGUGAAUUGGAUCGUAGAGUUGGUAUCUCACUAAAAUAAUGACACAGUUAAUAAAAAAUACAUCGAGAAAGAUAAAUAUGACCGAUCUUUACAAUCCCUGUAUCGAUCAUCUAGAUCAAGUGUCAUGGCCGCUUAGGUGACCUUGAUCUGGGGUCAUCCAUGACCUCAGACAAGGUGGAUGGGGGUGGGGAGGGGCGGCGAGCAAGAUCAGCCACCGCCGAGGGUGCUUUGGUGUUUUUCAGCCAUGGAAUGGAUGGUUAAACUACAAAAGUUGAGGAGGGUUUUUGCGCAUUUUCCAUAUAAUAGGACUUAUUAUCACAUUUAUGCAUAUUAACUCGAGAUUAUCAUUCCAAUGGAGUAACUUCAAUUAUUGUAAUGUUUAAACUUGUCUUUCCAUGGGGUUAAUUGUUAGAUUAAUGACGGUCAAGAUUCUAUCUGUUGAUUUUAUAAGUCGUCUCUCAUGUGAAGACGUCACAACCAACCCCACGCGCUUUGUUGUUUCUGUCAACUAAAAGAAAGGAGAAAGGGAUAGAGAGAGUUGAUUGGCGAUUGCCUUCGCAUGCCUCCGCAGAAUACGCCGAAACAAUUCAUUUUCUCUUUUGCUACUUUGGAGGAGAGGUUAAUUAGGUGGCCCGCGGAUGAUUUUCAAGAACCAAAUCUGACCUAUCUUUCGAGCGAUGAGAAGAUUUUUGUUGGUGAAAUGGAUUUUUGCAUAAAUAUAAAAUUUCACAGUCGUUCUGUAAUUUACUUUACAGGGAAUUUGGUCCGCUCGAAUCUGUUAAUAUCAGGAUAUUAUCGAUUGUGGUUGCAACUGGUUCAUCCAUUUGUGAAGACAUGUCGGAUUGGAAUGAAGUCGUUCUAGUUUGAGGCCGUGCAAUUUGACUAACUUAUGGAACAUUUGAAGUUCUGGUCAAAGAACCUAACUAAUAAUCCAUUAUUCUAAUACAACUAGUCCGAUGAAUGGAUGAAAACGUUGUGAUCUUACUGCUAAUUAUUGCCAAUGGACAAGUCGUGCACAAGACCAUUGGCGUCUCUUCAUGACCUCACAUUUAGGUAUUGCCGUCAAUAAAGUAAGACGAUUUUAGAUGGCCCGGCUCUCGAUGAGUUUAAAUAAAUGAGUAUAUUGAAGAUGGGUUUCAUUAUCAAGUUCCUUAUAAACACUUGUUAAACAAUCGACUAAGAUAUUUUUCGUGGCUCCGAAUGUAUUGAUUUUGCUCAUGAUAACACUUUGAAAACGUAAAUUUCCUCAUCAUAUAAAAUUUAACAAGCGUGUUCAGUUUACUCAUGAACAUAAUUUUUCAAGCAUACAUAGUAAGUGAUCAAAUAAAGAGAAGCCGCAGUAUGGAUGAUUAGAAUAUCGAGGUACCCUCUUAUCAAAUAACAUUAGUCAAUGUCCUAGAAACACUACUCAACAACACCAGUGCAAUUAACACUAAUUUCUAUGUUGCUGGACCGAAGCUUGUUUUCUUCUGGCGUGUCAAGUUGAACAAAAUCCAAUGACAAACAAAAACCUGCCUUGAUUUGGGAUCUCAAGGACAAGAAGGUUCCCCUAAUCCCUUCACAGGAAAAACAAUAAUUUAUUUUUCGUAUUAAUCAAUCAUUAAAUAAUUUCCUAAUCCUAAUUAGCAUCUUUAAGAAACUCGUCGGCACGGUCGCACGUUUACUCAAGGGAGCUCUCGCGAGCCCAUGAAGGCAACGUGGCCCAGACGAAAGAGACUCCAUCAUGGACUCUGCAUACGCAAUCCUCCACGACCCACGGGCUCUUGACCAUUGAUGGGCCGACCCGACUGGAUCCACCUGAUGACGGGUCAAGAAAUCCGAACCCUUCCAUAGCUAAAGGAACUCAUGGAUUGUGGGCUUUAUCCGCUCCAAUCCAAACGGAUACGGUGCGGGUAUUUUUUUAAUCGGACCCGAUGGAAUGAACCAUCUCUCUCUCUCUCUCUCUCUCUCUCUCUCUCUCUGUAUAUAUAUAUAUACGUUUUUUUUUUUUAACUUUGCUAAGACAACGGUACCGUCAUUUACAUUUAAUAACAGUGUAUUUCUCACCACAUAUUUGUUUUACAAGUUCAUGGCAACUGGGAGGACUUGUAGAUGAAUUUAAAUAUAAAUUUUAUAAGAUACACAUACCUUAUUUACUUCUACAAAGUAAGCUAAAAAGAAAGGAUAAUGGCAUGCUAAACAAUGUUUUUUUUUUUUUUUUUGGUAAAGGUAAGAAAUAUAUAGAUUUAGCAUAAACUUACAAGGAAGGGGGGGAAACCAGGCACCAAUAGAGCAGACACUCAAGGCGACCAAAGUCGAAAGAGAGUGUAGGGGUGCCAUGGAUCCAAAGAGCAGCAAAGAAAACCAAACAAGGAUACCUAAACAACAAAGACUCAACUAGACCGAAAGACCCUCCAUCAAUCAAAGAUAGACGGACUCAAGUUCCAGCUCUGUUGCAGCCUUCUGUUCGUCGGGGUAUCCAAGACAUGCUUGAACGUCAUCGCUUUGUCUUUAAUUGCCUUACAAAGGUGCAUCUUCAUCGCCGGGAUAAAGUGAGUCUGAUUCCGAAAGAUGAUGUUAUUGCGCUCUUUCCAUAUUAUGUAGCAAAGAGCACCAAAGCUGAAUCGAGCCAUAGAGUGAUAAAAGCUCCUGUUCGAGAAUCGUCUGGAUGCCCAAUCAAGAUUCUCCCGCCAGGAAUUGUUCCGCCACAAGGCAUUGAAUUUCGCAGCCCAGAAGGAGGCAAGAUUCCCCGGUAUACGGCAUGCGAAGAAGAGGUGAUUCACCGAAUCAGGCCUGCUUGAACAAAAAGGACACAAAGAAGAUGCUGGAAUCAACGCAAAUGAGAGGAGAAGAACCUGAGUUGGCAACCUGUUACGGGUAAUAAGCCAUAGGUGGGUUUGGUAUCUCGACGGCAUGGAUGAGCUCCACACAAACGAAGACCAAGACACCACAUUUCCUUUGGGUCUGAAGAGAUCCCAAGCAGACGCCGUUGAGAAUUUCCCCGAUGGAUGCCGUAACCAUUGGAAAUGGUCUUCUUGUUGAUUAAACUCAGGUAGGGGAUCCCACCAAUUAGCCCUAACAUUAAUAACAUACCAACCAAGAGGCGUGGACAAAGCAUCAGCAACAGAGGCAUCUUGGGGGAUGCCGGAACGAUAUAUCUCCUGGUUGGAAAAUAGAAUAUUGAGAGGGCCAUUAGGGUGCCAAGGAUCGAACCAGAAUGACACAGCUUUUCCAUUCCCUAUCCUCCAUCUGAAAUGCUGCUGGUAAACAUACCGAAGGCGAAGGAGUCUUUUCCAAGCCCAAGAACAAUAAGUGGGGAUAGGAGUAAUCCAGAAAUUCUUCCGGUUUAAAAAUGUGGAGUGGAUCCACUUACACCAGAGAGAUUCUUUGUCCGAGAAGAGCUUCCAAAUAUGCUUCCAAAUAUGUUUUUUUUUUUAAUUGGUCAUUAUGUUAAAAAAGUAAAACUGAAAAUACUAAUGAGAUCGACUAAUCCGUUAGCUAGCGAUGUGAUACCUACUUGGCAUCUUAUGUUGCUUUCGAAAUAAUUAAUUAACAAUUAUAAAACAAAAGAAAUGUAGAAGAAAACAACCGUUAAUCACUUGACCGUUGUUGUCGCUCAAGAGAAUUUCAAUGAAUUUCACUUACUUAAGAAUUUGUCUUAAGUCUCACAUGGUCAUGUAAGUUUUCACAAUGAACCAAUAUUCGUGGUUGAUAACAAUAUCGAUCUUCUCCGACUCAAUAUCUCCUUUUAAUUGGUGCACGGGAAUGGUGUGGUGGAGGAUUUUCAGUUUAGGAUCAUCCAUUUGGAUUCUGCGAGCUAUGUGCAAACUACUUAAUUUAAAAUCACCCACCUGCACAAAUAAUAAAUCCGGGCUUAAUUGAGUUUUGAACAUGAGUAUGUCCUUAAAUUGUUUCGACUGAAAUUUAGAACGUAAAAUUCAUGGAUAUUCCCUUUUGCACAGAAAAGACAAAGAUACCCAAAAAGUAAGGGUGUGCAUGGAAACACUCCAAAAAAGUGUUUCCGGCACACUUCUGUACGGAAAGUGUUCCCGAGAACAAAAAAGGAACAGAAACGCGUUUGGUUGCGUUUCCGUUCUUUUUUUGUUUUUUUGUUUCUAGAACGAAAUAAGAACAGAAAAAAGAAACAACAAUUUGUUGUUUCUUGUUCCAGAAACAAAAAUGAAGAAACAUUUCCGGCGAGCUUCUUCUCUCUCUUCUUCUUCUCUUCUUCUUUUCUUCUUUUUUUUCUUCUUUUCUCUUUCGCCGGUCGCCGGCCUCGGCCAUGGCCGGCGACCGGCCGUCGAGGCUCAGCCUCGCCCAAAUCCGGCGAGGCCGAGCGUCGCCGGCCCCCGGCGAGGCUGCCGGCCCCGUCGGCCGGUCGCCGGAGGCCAGUGACCGGCCGAAAAAAUAAAAAAUAAAAAAGAAAGGAAAAAAUGAAAAAUAAAAUAAAAAUGUUUAAAAAAUUAAAAGAAUAAAAUUUACCAAACGUGUUUCUGUUCAUUUUUUAUUCCCGGACCAAAUGUUACCAAACGCGUUCUUUUGUUCAAAAAUUGUUCCCCGGAACAUAAACACUUUUUUUUGUUUCUGUUCCCAGGAACAAAAAAAGAACAGAAACGUUACCAUUCGCACCCUAAUGGACUUUCUCAAGAUAUCACCCUACAUAGCCGAAGUAUGUAACCCUAGCUUGUAUUAUAUAAAGAUAUCACCCUACAUAGCUGAAGUAUGUAACAAAAAUUCUAUCACUGAAACACAAAAACACUUAUUAGCAAUUGUCACUCAUUAACAUCUUGUUAGUUUAUUAUUUUUACAAGAAUAUCGAGGUACCAUCCUAUCAAAUAACAUUAGCCAAUGUCCUAAAAACGCUACUCAAUAACACCAGCGCAAUUAACACUAAUUUCUAUGUUGGUGGACCAAAGGUUGUUUGUUUUGGCGUGUCAAGUUGAAUUAAAUCCAAUGAUUAGUCUUGAUUUGGGAUUUCACGGACAAGAAGAUUCCCCUAAUCCCUUCACAAAUUUAUUUUUAUUUUUAUUUUUCGUAUUAAUCAAUCAUUAAAUAAUUUCCUAAUCAUGAUUAGCAUCUUUAAGAAACUCGUCGGCACGGUCGCACGUUUACUCAAGGGAGCUGUCGCGAGCCCAAGAAGGCAAGAAGGCCCAGACGAAAGAGACUCCAUCAUGGACUGCAAACGCAUUCCUCCACGACCCACGGGCUUUUGACCAUUGAUGGGCCGACCCGACCGAAUCCAACCAAACGGAUAGGAUGCGGGUUUUUCUUUUCAUCCGACAUGGAAUGAACAUCUAUAUAGUCGAGAACGGAAGAUAAAUCUAUUCUGACCUUAUCCGCUUAACUGAAUCUUCUCUGUUUCAAAUCUAUAUCAAUGAUCUCCUCCAUAAAACCCAUCCAAAGUCCGCAUUAGAAUCCUCCUUCAGACGACGAUCUCUCUUCCAUGGCGAUGACCACUGCUGGCGGCGGCGAUGGCGGCGGCUGCUGCGCCUUCGCCCUCCAGGUCCUCAGGGGCCGGUGGUUCAUGAUGUUCGCGUCCUUCCUGAUCAUGGCGGGCGCGGGCGCCACCUACCUCUUCGGCGUCUACUCCAAGGACAUCAAGUCCACCCUCGGCUACGACCAGUCGACCCUCAACCUCCUCAGCUCCUGCAAGGACCUCGGCGCCAACGUCGGCGUCCUCUCCGGCCUCAUCGCCGAGGUCGCCCCCACAUGGCUCGUCCUCCUCGUUGGCUCCGCCAUGAACUUCGCCGGCUACUUCCUCAUUUGGCUCGCCGUCACCCGUCGCAUCCCCCGCCCCGCGGUCUGGCAGAUGUGCGUCUACAUCUGCGUCGGCGCCAACUCCCAGAACUUCGCCAACACGGGCUCCCUCGUCACCUGCGUCAAGAACUUCCCCGAGAGCCGCGGCAUCAUGCUCGGCCUGAUGAAGGUAUUUCAUGGACGACUGAUUUCUCGUCAAAUAUUCAUAUCGGCGACGUAACGAAUACGCGAAAUGCUUUCUCUCGUCUCGUGCAGGGCUUCGUGGGGCUGAGCGGCGCGAUGAUGACGCAGCUUUACUACGCCAUCUAUGGGGACGACUCCAAGUCCCUCAUCCUCCUCAUCGGGUGGCUGCCGGCGGUGAUCUCGAUCGUCUUCGUGUACACCAUCCGGACGAUGAAGCUCUCGACGCACCCCAACGAGCUCAAGGUGUUCUACGAGUGCCUGGCCAUCACGGUCGUGCUCGCGCUGGUCAUCAUGGCCCUGACCAUCGCCCAGAAGCAGGUCAGCUUCUCCCAUGGGGCCUACGUCGUGAGCGCGGUCGCCGUCUGCGUCUUGACCUUCCUCCCCCUCGGGAUCGCGGUGAGGGAGGAGUGGGCCACGUGGAAGCAGAGGAAGGCACAGAAACCUACGACGGCGACCGUGGGAGUUGCUGGUGAUGACGCCUCCAGUCCUGCUCGUGAUUUGGAAAUUCAUGCGACUGAUCAGCGGAGGCAAGAAGAGCAAGAGGCUGCCAACCCGAAUGACACUUCGUGUUGUGCCGAUGUGUUCAAGCCUCCCGAAAGAGGUGCGGACUACACGAUCAUGCAGGCCCUCUUGAGCUUGGACAUGAUCACUCUCUUCGUGGCGACGUUCUGCGGCCUUGGAUGCAGCCUGACUGCGGUCGACAACCUGGGCCAGAUCGGCGAGUCCCUGGGCUACCCGCAGCACACGAUCGGCACGUUCGUGUCCCUCGUGAGCGUGUGGAACUACUUCGGUCGGGUCCUCGCCGGGUUCAUCUCGGAGAUCAUAUACGACAAGUGGAAAGUGCCCCGCCCCGUCAUCAUGAUGCUCUCGCUCGUCGUGUCGGGGGUCGGGGACCUCCUCAUCGCGUUCCCGGCCCCCGGGUCGGUCUACGUCGCCUCCCUCCUCAUCGGGUUUUCCUUCGGCGCGCAGCUCACGCUCCUCUUCAUCAUCAUCUCCGAGCUCUUCGGGCUCAAGUAUUACUCGACGCUGUUCAACUGCGGGCAGCUGGCGAGCCCCCUCGGGUCGUACAUCCUCAGUGUGCUGGUCGUGGGCAGGCUUUACGACGUGGAGGCGACGAGGCAGCUUGCGGCCAGGGGGCUGACACGAUCGGCGGCGAAGGAGCUGACCUGCAUCGGGAGGCGGUGCUACCGGACGUUGUUCAGCAUCCUGGCGGGCGUGAACGCGCUGGGGGCGCUCGUCUUGCUGGUUUUGGUCGUGAGGACUAGGGAGUACUACCAAGGGGAUAUCUACAAGAGGUAUAGAGAUCAAAUGGCUGAGAAUGAGAAAGGGAUUGCGUUGAGCAAUGCCGGCAUUGAUGAUCCUGAGGAUGUAAAAAAUAGGAAGUGACAAGGAUCAAGUGAAGGUGGUGAACCCAUCUUCUUCUUCUUUUUCCUCUUAAGUUUUUCAUGCUUGCGAUUUAGUGCGAACACGAAUUGCUUAAUGUACACGAGUCUCCUCUUCCUGGUUCGUCUGUGCUUUUUGUUUUUUGCCCACAGAGAUUUCGAUCAGCAAAUGUCCUUGAUCACAUUCUAAAGUUCCAUCUAAUCCGGUGAUUUUAAUAAACUCAGUAGUAGUCGAUCAAAUUGAUUAUUAUGAUGAUAACUGUCAUUGAAUCUUGGCCGAAACACGGUAAAUUUGAAAAAGAAAAUACUGUGGAUAACUUAUGAAAUUUGAAUCCCUUCGGCAGUUAAGUUAGAUGAGAUCAUUCCAAUUGUAAUCUGAUCACCAGAAAGGAUUUUCAAGUUGUUUUCUUAUCGUUAUUAGUCAAAGUAGGUAGAGUCAAAUCUCAUGCAAAGUGGCUCGUCGGCCAGAUCCAAAUGGAGAUAAGGCCGAGACCCAUCUGAUUGACCCGAGCACCCGAAUUGCCCCCAGUCCAGCCCAACAGCAUCUUUGGAUUUCGUGAUGCCCUUGGAGCACCCGAAUUAUUAAAAUCACCAAAUUUUGUAGUGAAAUUUUUUUUUUUUUCGAGGAAAAUAGUUUGACAAUACUAGGGGUUUUCUCAGAUGAAUGGUUAACGUGAUUGCGAGAGUGCUCGAUAAUUUAUCGGUCGCAUGCACAAAAUCAAAUGGAAAAAGAAAAAGCAUUCAGGCAAUUUGUUUGUCCCGAUUUUCUUCCUCUGUCAUAAAAUAGAGAAGAUGGGCUUCGUGGUUGAUAACAAUAUUGAUCUUCUCCGACUCAAUAUCUCCUUUUAAUUGGUGCACAGGGAUGGUGUGGUGGAGGAUUUUCAAUUCAGGAUCAUUCAUUUGGAUUUCACGAGCUAUGUGCAAACUAUUUAAUUUAAAAUCACCCAUCCACACAAAUAAUAAAUCUGGGCUUAAUCGAGUUUUGAACACGAGUAUCUCCUUAAAUUGCUUCAUUCGAACUCUAUGAACUUUGAGGCAUAAAAUUCAAAGAUAUUCCCUUUUGCACAGGAAAAAUAAAAAUAAAGAUAUACCUAAAAAUUUAGGGACUUUCUCAAGUGAGAUAGUAGAUUCCAUCGUAACAUUUUUGAAAGUUGUUUGAGGAACUAAUAAGCUAGUGUAGUAGCUAGAAGAGGGAGAUGAAAGCCCUCCUGCUAGGCCUAUGUGUACUUCGGAUAGUGUCUUUCAACCGGGUUGGUUAAAAGACACCGUGCGAAGAUAACAAAUCUGGGCUCAAUCGAGUUCAUUAAACUUGUAGGAUAGUCAAAGCGCCUGCAGACUGUCCGUCAGAUCUCUUUUGUCCGGUGUUUUGGAUUUUCAAAAGAAGAAAUGUAUGUAUAGAUUGGCUCAUUUAUGCCGCUACAGAGCCUUUUGCAGAAGGCAAUGGCAGGACAUCGUAUUGACGAUCGCAGGCUUUGACGCUGUGCUUUUGCUCCUCUAUGUAUUAGUCUCCGUUUCUUUGAGCAUGGCGGAUAAAAAGGACUUUCUAAGUGCUAGAGGGCUUGAUAAAGGAGGCGAUUUUUCUCUUCCUUUGGUUUCCUUUAUCUGGUCUAAUUGGAGGCUGCUUCAUUAUAGUGAAAAUGUCAUUUGCCCACCCUGGAAAGUCACAGAAAAGGUCAUUGGGUUUGCGUGUGCAUUGAGGUUAGAAGGGAAUUAGCGAGGAGAGUACACGGUUCAUAUUCCCUUGCAUCUGCUGUCCAGCCAAUCCUCGUGGGACCUGCCUAUGAAAAAUUGCAUUUUUUUUAAUUAGGUUGGACUAUAGGAUGGGCGUUGUGGGCCCCACUACCUGCUGGGGGAGGGGGGAUCUGAUCUGAUCUGAUAGGAACUAGACAGAAGACAACCAGCUGCGGUACUGUUACAUAUAAUAAAAUCGAAAAAGGAAAAAAAAGAUAAGCUUUUUUUUCCAAGAGACCUUGACUCUUUUUUUUCCAAGAGACCUUGUUCGCUGUCCUAUUAUCCUAUUCUACGGUCUACCGUCAACUAGAGAGAUGGUUGCCUCCUCCCAACUCCCAUCAGCCGCGUCUUGUUUCCAAACCACUGGAUUUUCGGGCGAAUGCUUUGACUCGACUGGGUCAGCAUAGGCUGGGGUUAGUCGUAUUUCAUGGCUAUGAUGGUACCUGUUGAACCAUGGUCGGGCGUGAGAAUCUUAGAUCUAAAUCCUCCAAAGAAUGCACAUUGCUAGAUUUCCUUUUUGACCAUGUCGAUGCUAGCACCAGAUCUACGCGAGGAUCAGUGGCUACUCUGAAUGAAGUCAAUUUUUCCAAAGUCCGGUUCCAAGAGUAGCUUGAGUGGAUUCUCUCGGGUAAUGCUUUCAGAAGCAAGAAACACAACGGGGAUUCCAUCUACUUCAGAGCAAUACCUAUAAUUUACCAUUUUCUUUUCUCCUAGAACUUGGAAUGAGUAGCUAUAGUCUUCCACGUUAGGUUGCAGAUCAAUGACAUUCGACAGAGGAGACCCAUCAACGGCGAUUGAAUGACGUGAGAAAAGUCAAUAACCUGCUUGAUUACGCAGAGAGAGAAAAGCAGGGCUGACACGGACUGAUAGAACCUAGGAUGGUCCCAUUGCUGUGAUGGAACUGCGCCUUGCUGCAGUUGGCCCUAAUUUUUAGUGUAAGCGCGUCUUCUCAUUUAAAAGCAAGAGCACUUUGAGUGAUUGGCUCAAUGAUGUACACUUCUCUUUCUGCUGUGUCUGUAUCAGACGAGCAUCAAUUUGACUGCAUUUGAGUUUUGAGAUGAGCAUAGCAGUGAGGGAUGGUUCCCUAUUUGACGAGCAUUUUUACGAAGACAAUGCAGCCAAAUUUCCAGUUCAGCUAGAUUGUACCUUACUCCUACCACUAGGAUCUUGCACGCCGCAAUUUAAAAAUUUCUUCUGUUGUUGUUCAGCUAGAUUGAACCUUGUUCCUACCAUCUUGUCCAUCACCCUUUGUUUAAUUCCUCUAGCCUGAUGUCGUGACUUUGUCCUUUGAUUACGAUUCAUUCAGAAGGGCCUCUGAUUUUCUCUCUUCUUUCGCAGUUUGUUCAUUCACAGGGACAGCAGCGCGGGCAUAUCUAAUCUGGGGUUUUCUCGGGGUGGGACGUCCACAGCCACCACCACCGAUGGCGGCGGAGGGAGUGGAUCCGACGGAGGGGACAGGGACCCCUUUGGAAUGAUAUUUGGGAGCGACGCACCACCGGCAUAUUCAUCAGCUAUCUCCUUUUGUCUUUACUAAUCAUUUUGUUAAACAAACCAAUGAAGGAAUUUUUAGCGGUACCCAAUGUGCUAAUUGUGCUCGUGAUAACAUUUUAAAUCAUAGAUUUUCUCAUCACAUAAAACUUAACAAGCGUCUCAACUUUAUUCUUAAUCAAAAUUCUUCGAACAUACAUAAUAAGCGAUUAAGUAAAGAGAAAUUGCGGUAUCUGAGGCUACAAUAUCGAAGCACCCUCUUAUCAAAUGACACUAGCCAAUCUCCUAGAAUUGUUGCUUAACAACAUCGGCGCAAUUAGACACUAAUGCCAGAGUGGGGGGACUAAAGGUUGUUUUGUUUUGGCAUGCCAAGUUGAAUUAAAUCUAGUGACGAAACUGUAUUGUGCUGCGAUUGCAAGGACAAGGGGGUUCACCUAAUCCCUCCACAAAUCAUUUUUGCAUUAAUCAAUCGUUAAUUAAUUCCCUAAUCUUAAUUAGCAUCUUUAAGGAACUUGUCGGCACGGUCGCAUGUUUGCUCAAGAAGGCAAAAUGGCCCAGGCGAAUGAGACUCCAUCGUGGACUCCGCAUACGCAGCCCUCCACGACCCACGGGCUUUUUGACCAUUGACUGGCUGACCCAACUAGAUCCACCCGACCCUUCACGGGUCAAGAACUUCGAACCCGUCCGUACCAACUACCAAGAGACGGCGAUCUUCCCAUGACGACCACCACCGGUGGCGAUGGUCGCAGGUGAUUCUGCAGCUUCGUCCUCCGAAUCCUCCGAGGGCGGUGGUUCAUGAUGAUGUUCGCGUCGUUCCUGAUAAUGGCGGGCGCCGACGCCACUCCUACCUCUUCGGCGUCUGCCCCAGGGACAACAGGUCCACCUCGGAUACAUGAUAUUAAUUAAUUAUUCAUCCACAAUAGAUAGUGGUGGCUGGGGACAUAUAUAGUGAAUCAAGCUGUCCCACAUAUUUAUUUCCUUUUCGACAAAAUAUGAAGGACACGUGCCCAAGGAUUAUUUCUAAGAAACAAAUCAGGUCGAAACCGUAAUUGAUUUCAAGUGGAGAACAUUACGAAACAUCGUCCACUUUUCUUGGUUUCACACCCUCUGGAGUAAUCUUUAAAUUUGCUUUCCUAUUUGAAUCUCCUAUUCAUUAAACCUUCUUUCCUUUAAAAGACCCCAAGUCAACUCUUAAGUCCCCUCUCUCUCUCUCUCUCUCUCUCUCUCUCUCUCUCACUCAUAAAUAUGAUUAAAGAAAAACUAAAAUAAGAUUUUAAAAUAUAAAUUAUUAUAAGUACAAAAUACUAUCACCUACUAAAAAAAAUUAUUAAUAUAGUCAGUACAAUUUUUACAUUUAUCCAGUAUCGUGACGCUUUCAUGAUUAGCAUCUUCGGUUACAUUUUUAAUUUUGUGUCUCGUCCGCAUCACCAUCAUUAUUUUCAUUGGCACUUGGAAUCUCUAGCGGCGUUCCUCGACUCAGCAGCUUCAUCUCCCAAAGCUAGCGCUCAAUCGUGCGCCGACUGGUCCUUUGCCGUAUUCAAAUUUUUUCUUGUAGGUCCAUGGAGCUUCUUACGAGAUCCAGUCCUUUUCCAAUUCGGUUUGCAGCAUCUCGUAAGUUCGCGGCAUCCUCCCAACGAUGCUGCUGCUUUAGUCUCGCUGCGACAGCCUGGGCCGCUAUCCCUCGUCAACACCUUACCACCGUGACGGCCCGAGCCCGCAAUGACGCUCCUACUGAUCCAUUACGAAGAGAUGCUCUUCGUGUCGUGCCAUCGUUGCACCUAUUGAGAUGAAUCUGGGGACAAUAAUUCACAACGAGUUAAACCUAAUCCAAGAUCAAUUUUUUUUCCCGAAACUAAAUCAACUGAAAUUCUCUUAACCCUAGCAUCAACUAGCAAUAUAUAACAUUACAAUAUACAAAUAUAUUGCCGAAAUGAUAAGUAGACAAAGCAAAUAACGACAUCAAGAAUUUAACAUAAAAAAUUUGAUAUGAGAAAAAUCAUGGACCACCCAAAAAACAUCAACUAAUUACCCAGGAUACACAAAGUAUUAUUUUUUAGUCACACACUAGAUGCUUAAUAUUAAUAUUACAAUCUCAUUUCAUCACCACAUAGGUAAAUAAAUAAAUUCGAAGUAAGAAAGCCUUAAUCGCAAGGGGAGAAUUCGGAGGCGAUUCUAGACGAACGAAAACCAUCAACUUUAGCCCUCGGUCUCACAAACAAUAUACUCAAAUUUGAGCCGAUUCUGUCAAUGUUUGGCCUUCUAAUCAAGAUCACAAAGUUGCAGCCCUUUUCUUUUAUUUUAUUCUCCUGUUUCGGUAGUUUUUGGUUCUCUCUUUCCUCACUUCGGGCGUACACGCUUACGCACGAAGGCCCAAUUUCUUUUCAACUUCUCUCCUUUUUUUUAUGUUUUUCCUUUAUUUUUUUCAAUGCUAGCUGGGCCCACAUAGAAGUAGACCCAGCCAACAGCACGUGCUACAGCGAGCUGCCUGGUAACUUCCUUGCUGUCUUACCGUGCUUCGGUAUCUAAUUUAUAUUUCUUUCAUCAUAUUCAUAAAAAUCGAUAGUGUGAAUCCUCUUACAUUUUUAUUUUUUAAUUUAAGUUGGCAAUAAAAAAACAUUAAAAAAAAUAAAAGAAAAGAAAAUUUGGGUAAAAAAUGAAAAUCCAAUUUCUAUCCAAAGAGUGCGGGCUAGAUAAGCCGCCCCCUUUUCCCCAGAACGAGGUUGGUGCUACAAGGACUUGAAGCCACCCCUCACGAACCUCGUUAAGAAGCCCGCUUCGCAAAUCAUCGGUUUUCACCUUCGUAACAUGAACAUCAAGUGCGUAGGAAAAAAAAAACACGGACAUCAAGUACGUAGAGACGACGGUGAUGUGCGCCAACGGCCUCCGAGACGUCAACCGCUUCCACAGGAUGGACCCCUACGUCGACGUCUCCCUCUCCG